rnacentral:sRNA from 1 species
AGUCAGAAUGAGUAUAUUGCUAACCUCAAGGACCAACUGCAAGAGAUGAAGGCAAAAUCCAACUUGGAGAAUCGCUACAUGAAAACCAAUACAGAGCUGCAGAUUGCCCAGACCCAGAAAAAGUGUAACAGAACAGAGGAACUCUUGGUGGAAGAGAUUGAGAAACUCAGGAUGAAAACCGAAGAAGAGGCCCGGACUCAUACAGAGAUUGAAAUGUUCCUUAGAAAGGAGCAGCAGAAACUUGAGGAGAGGCUGGAGUUCUGGAUGGAGAAAUAUGAUAAGGACACAGAAAUGAAACAGAAUGAACUAAAUGCUCUCAAAGCCGCAAAGGCCAGUGACUUAGCACACCUUCAGGACCUGGCAAAGAUGAUAAGAGAGUAUGAACAGGUCAUCAUUGAAGAUCGUAUAGAAAAGGAGAGGAGCAAGAAGAAGGUAGAACAGGAUCUCUUGGAAUUAAAGAGCGUUAUAAAGCUCCAGGCCUGGUGGCGAGGCACUAUGAUACGGAGAGAAAUUGGUGGUUUCAAGAUGCCUAAAGACAAAGUUGAUAGCAAGGAUUCAAAAGGCAAAGGUAAAGGCAAGGAUAAGAGGAGAGGCAAGAAGAAGUGACCAAGUUCUCUUCUGUGUUUUCUGCUGGUAUUCUGGAGGUGGGAAGGACUUGGAGAGAGUUAAGAAACACCUGGUACCUCAAAGAUGACUCAUCUACAGGUUGUUUCCUAUUGAGACUUUCCCAGGGAAGCCUGAUUUCACUUUGCCUGUUAAUUUCACUCUGCCUGUUAAUUUCACUCGGCCUGUUAGGUGGGUUUUCAAACCCUGAUUUAGGAUUACACCAUUGACUUAGGGCUUCCUCAUACCUUGCUGGGAAGAAGUUUCUAGUAGUCCUGUGAAGAUUCAUUCUUCUUGCUCUUUCUCAGCAGAACAAAGGAGUUCACUGGCUUAGCUACAGUGACGCAUUGAAACUUGAGUAAUUCCUGUAAUGUCAGAUUUUGAUUUUACCCAACUUGUCUGUAGUGAAAAAACUCUUAUGAGCAAAAGUAUUCAGUAGGAAUUACAAUAUGAUGUUAUUAGCUGUCCAGCAUAAUAUAUACACAGCAAAGUUUUAAUAAAUGUUGGUUCCUGCCUGCCUUUU